rnacentral:rRNA from 1 species
UGGGGAAUAUUGCACAAUGGGGGAAACCCUGAUGCAGCAACGCCGCGUGAAGGAAGAAGGCCUUUGGGUCGUAAACUUCUGUCCUAAGGGAAGAUAAUGACGGUACCUUUGGAGGAAGCCCCGGCUAACUACGUGCCAGCAGCCGCGGUAAUACGUAGGGGGCGAGCGUUAUCCGGAAUUAUUGGGCGUAAAGAGUGCGUAGGCGGUUUUUUAAGCGCGGGGUGAAAGGCAAUGGCUUAACCAUUGUUAGCCCUGCGAACUGGGAGACUUGAGUGCAGGAGAGGAAAGCGGAAUUCCUAGUGU